CGCGGUUUCCAACCCAGAAAUUUGUCACCAUGUGUGGUGGGCUCCUUCUGCAUCAGCUCACCAAUUUCUAAUUCACCACUUAAUGUUCACUUGUUACUGUUUCAAAAUGUUUACUGUGGCUCGGCAAAUAACAAACCAUGGUUUGAUUAAGAUAACCCACCCCUUUAGCAGCCCUAUAAAUACAACACUCAUGACUGGGUUUUUGCUUAGUGAAGUAGAGAAAGAGAGACAGUUAUUCCUCGUCCAGUUCAGAAAGUGAUCUGAAGACGAGAGGGGGCACAGAUACUGCUACUUGAGAUAAGGCGUUGCAGUUUUCUUGCUCUUCAUUGAAUUGGAUUCUCCAUGUGUCCUCCAAUACCGUCCCCACUUUCCGAAAUGGGUUCAAAUGAUGAACAAAUCAUUUUGUCACUUGAUAAAUACAUACGUGGGUCCCCUCUUCCAAAUAAUGUGAUUGCAGGUUUAGACCUAUACCAG